CCUCCUUAUCUUGAAGUAAAACGUUUUAAUGAAAGCCUUGGCUUUGCGAGUGUUCACACAAAUUACAUGAUAACAAUUAAAGAUAACCCUGAUGGGGCUAUAGCUCAGCUGGGAGAGCGCCUGCCUUGCACGCAGGAGGUCAGCAGUUCGAUCCUGCUUAGCUCCACCAUCAUUUAUCAUAUAAAGAAAGAAACCAAACUUAACGCAUCAAUGAUUGAUGGUUUAAGUUUGGUUUUUUAAACCAAGUUUCUAACCGAGUGCGCGUUAAUCACUACUUCUUUAACAAUCUGGAAAGCUGAUAUAAAUAUCGGUAUUUAUAUAACAAACACGGUGUCGCGCUGUUGUUUGUAAUAUUAUAAAUACCAAGCUGUUAGUACAUUCUCUUAUCGUG
rnacentral:tRNA from 1 species